GCGGAUGAAGCUUGUUUAUGGAGAUAUGCGGGUUUGGACUUGGGAGAGAGAGGUUUUAAUCCAUAAUAAUAUUUGUAGGGAUGAAAAGUAAAUUUACCAAAUUAUCCUUGUCUGGGUGUGAACUGUGAUGACUGGAUGUGGAAGUGAUGAAAGAAAGAGGUUGGUAGAGAUGAAGAAGCUGGAAAAAAGUGUAGGCCGGAGGUUUCCAUAGAUGUACAGGUGUUGGAAAUGGUUCAGGUUAUGGACGGUUGAAGAUGACAGUUGUAGAACACGAGUGCUUAAUUAUAAUUAUAGUAAUAAUAAUAUAAUAAGUUUUAUUUUUGUAAUUUUAAAUAAUAUAAUUUAUUUUAUUUUAGCAUAAUUUUUAUUUUUAUAUUUAAAUU
rnacentral:lncRNA from 1 species